rfam:Picea glauca, whole genome shotgun sequence.
ACAUGCUUACAGUAUAGCGUUAAUGAACUAGAUCCCAUUAGAACUCUACAUUUAAGUGCGCUCGGUCUAGAGUAGUACUGGGAUGGGUGACCACCCAAUAAGUCUAAGUAUUUUACAUGCC